UGUUUUCCCAAGUGCAGCUCCCUGGAGGCACUUCCCUUGUGAGGAGCCGGCGUGUGAGUCUCUGCAGAAUUCGGCAUGUCCUCCUCAUCUUCCUACGUCCACCAUCCCUUGGAAAAGGCGAGCUGUGUCCAGCCCUGCACGUGAUGCCCGGUUUUCUGAAAUGUCACCCCUGGGUCUCUGGGCAACAGCCCUCCCCAUCCCAGGUCCUCCAGCACGCAGGGUGCCCUCCGCAGCCACUCCCAGGAAGCCGGACAGAACGGGGCUGACCAGCGGCCACGGGAAGCCACCGGCCACCGUAACCCCCGUCUUCCCCAGGUGCUGCCCUGGGCCAAAGUGGCCGGGUGUGUGUGGCUGACGUCACGGCAACGCCCAGCCGCGCUGGCUCCUGUGUGGUAUCUGGGGCUCUGGCACCCAGCAGGUGCCAAAGCCUCGUGAGAGGUGGGUCCCCAAGCUGGCUCUGAGCCAGGGGAGACUCGGUUAAAGGUCAAGUCGACUUUCAGGCCUUGCAUUUCCAACUCCAUGGGCAAAGAUGCAGGGCCACCGCCCCCCGGACCAUGGUUGGAGGUGAGGUGGCCCCAGAUCUUUGUGCAGCUUCAGGGCCCAGGUGUCAUCGCCAAGGCCCCCAUGGGCCCAGGAAGGGGGCUUUGUGGUCACUGCUGUGUGUGUGGGGGGCAGCCUGCAGCCAGGGUCACAGGCCUGAGCCUUGGACAAGCGCAGAACGAACCCCCAGGUCUGGCACGCAUGCCAGCUGCCCAGGGCAGCGACUGUGCGAGGCUGGGUGCAGGCUUUGGGGGUGGCACGGGCUCCAGCAGUUUCUGGCAUUCAAAGAGGCUGUGCAGGAGCAGGCCUGGGGUUACAGGAGGGGUGGGCGCUCAGGAGAGAGGGCGGUUUCGGAGCUACUCGACACCCAGAGAGGUGUUGGGUGCAGUGUUUUCCGCCCGCCAGCCAUGAAACGCAAACCCCACUUUGGCCUCCAGGGAGCUGGUGUCCCCAGAUGCCUGUGUCUUCCCCUGUGGGGAGGUGUCCACCUGCGAGGUCAGGCCUGGCCUGUGGGCUUGGCCACUCUGAGCACCAGGGAGGUCUGCCAGGCCCUCUGACUGUUCCUGCUCUUUUCUCUCUGCUUUUCCAAGGCGGCUUUCCGUGAAUCACUGACUUGAAAAUGCCUCCCUGCCACUCCUGUGUGUGCAGACACUGAACACAAGGCCAGGUCCUCUCUCAGAGCAGAAGUUAAAAAUUAUUCAAUGCAAAAUUCCUGGGCUGUGGAGCGGCCGUGGUUGUACCAGGCAAAGGUUUCCACCACAUUCCACCAGCCAGGCCAAGAUAAGACCACAAGGGCGCCUGAGGGAGUCUGCUCCUGCCACACACCGCCCUCCGUGUCCCGGGACCAGGAGGAGCCAAGCGGAUUCCUGGACUGUGCAGAAGAUACUGGAGGAGACUGGAGCAACUUUGGGUGCCCUGAAGCUCAAGGAAGAACUCAGGGAAUGACGGGGGGUGCAUCCCAGGGGCAGGAGCUCAGCCUAGGAUCCGAGCAUCAGAACAGAACAGACAGCAGGACAGCCCAGGACCCGUCCAAUGAAACAGGCAUGCCCAGGCUGCGCUGAGGGCUGUGGGAUGGACACCCACGUAUCAGGAUGACAGCGUCAGGCCCUGGAAGAAGCAGACCUACCACUGUUCUGCAGGCCAUUUCUGAAGAAAUUAUUUCAAAAUGAAAGAAAACUCUCCCAGGAAGGGAAGUCUCUAACACAAGGCCCCAGCCAGGCCCCUGAGGGAAGGAGGAGGGAGCCGGUCGAAGAUCAGAGGUCAGGGUGCAGUUUCCAUGGGGACACUGCGCGUGGUGUGAGCAGCCGCAGGGCGUGGUGUGAGCAGCCGCAGGGGACCCAGGACCCUGGUGAGGGGUGCGAGGGGGAGGGGCUGGGGGUGAGUGACCCAGCACAGGAGGCCUGGCAGAGAGCAGCAGGCAUCCCGGGCCAGACACCCUGGAAAUUCAGGGUGGUGGUCAAGGAGGCAGGGACAUGAGGUGGGGAGCCUGGAAGCCGAAGGUGGGGACAACAGCCGCCUCCCCGCCAGCCCCAGGGGAGGAAAGGCUGAGCGGCUGGGGUGGGUUUGCUGGAGGGCUGAGGCUGCGAGGCACCCCCCGUCGUGGGGGAGGGGUGGAGGAGGGCGGGUCCUGUGGGUGGAACCCUGGAGCCCUGGGAGUCUGUGGUUCCUGCAGGUGACACAGAUGUGGGACUGGGGGUGUCAGGAGGUUGGUUUGGGGAUUCAGCGGUUGGAGGCUGUGAGGAUGGGGAGUGUCUUCAGCCCUCCCCUGGAGGAGGUGGAGGCCUGGGGGCUGUUGGGGACCCCACAGGGCAGGGUGGCUAGUGUGACUGCAUGGCUGACAAGGGAGGGGGGCCGCCCCAGCCCCCUUCCGGCUACUCUAGGCCCUGCUGAGCAGUGGAGAAGUUCACUGUGAGAGGGGGCGGCCAGCAGAGGUCUGAGCUCAGGCAGGUCCUUUUCUACCCCAACUCCCAAGCCAGGCCACUCCAGGUCUGGGGCACCAGGUGUCCUGGAAAGGUGGGGGGUGGCAGGUGGGGCACACAGGGGCCUCCAGCUCUGCCGGCCUGGUGGGGCCACUUCCCAUCCCACCGCCCCCAGCAGGUGCAGGUGCGUGACCUCAGGCCCAAGCUGCACGUCUGUUUGCAGGGCACACGCAGACACACAGGCCCGCCCAGGUGGGUCCCAGCACCUGCAGGAAGGCCCUGCCUGGCCUGUGUUUCUUCCUGGAGGCCAAUGAGUCAUCAGCCACCGCCGCCCCAGAGCCUCUCCAGCACAGCUGGCCCCACCCAGCCAGGGAUAGGAGGGCCCACCCUGGUGGCCUGGGCCCCAAAGCAGAAGACCAGGAGCCCCAGGCCCAGAGCUGCUUGGUUUGGCAGGGGCAGGCCAGGACCACUGAGGGCUGGGCCUCUCCCGACCUCUUCCACGGUGUCCACCCCAAGGCCUGAGCGGGCCGUCCUGUCAGCCCUCAGGGUUGCUCCCCCUAAGGACAGAGUGGCUGCCUUGGACCCACUCCAACCCUAGGCAUCCUCUGUCACCCAUGUGCCUGAGGGCAGCCACAAACUGUCUGGGGCCCCCAGGUGGCCACCCUUAUCCCUCUUUCAGGCCCCAGGUCCCCAGGUUCCCUCUGGGCCUCUAGGAGGCAGGAAGCAGGUGCCGGGAAGAGGAGGCGAGGGCCGGGGGCACCUAGGUGAGCAGCGGCUGCGUCCAGGGCCGGUGUGGCUGGUGAGCUGCGCCAGGGUGAUUUGCUUGAGACAUUUCCAUAGCUGCUUUGGUUCUGCGGCUGAGAUUUCCAUGCCCGCUCCCUCCCGGCCUCAUGGAGCCCACAGCCCUAGGUUCUGUUUCUGCCAGGUGUCCUCACGUUCCGGGACCUGGCCAAGCUCCGGGGAACACUGGCAGUGGUCAUCCAGGGUCCACGGUGCUGAGGUCACGGUGGUCAUCCAGGGCCCACGGUGCUGAGGUCACGGUGGUCAUCCGGGGCCCAAGGUGCUGAGGCCACAGCACAUCCCUCAAGGCCUCCUUCAGUUUGGUCCAAAGGGUCUGUCUGGAGGCCUUUCUGAUCCAGAAGCUCAGGGCUCACAGUGUGUUUAAGAACUGGUUCAGCAGCACCUGGGGUGGGCCCUGCCCGUCUGCUCUGAGGAGCCAGCAUUCUGAUGCCAGCUGGGGGCCGUUCCUGCGCAGCUCAGGACGUCUGAAAAGUCUGUUUCCCCAGGCCCAGUGCUCAGCGGGCUUCUCCAGCACCCAGAUCUCCAACUCCAGGGCCCCUCCCACAGUGUGCCUGUCCAGGGACCCAUGUCCCAGGACCUAUACCCCCAGCAGGAGUGCCCUCCCCUCCCAUGAUGUGCCUCUCCUGGGACCUCCACCCCAGCAGGAGUGCCCUCCCCUCCUACCGUGCACCUGUCCCCGGACCCCACCCUCGAGCAUUGAGUGCCCUCCCCUCCCUCAGUGUCCCAGGCAGGGUUCGUCUCUGGGUCUCCUCCCCACAGUCUCUCAGGGCAAGACCCCCAGUGUCAAGGCCAUGGCCGCAGCAGACAACACAUGGAGGUGACUGCAGCUCUGCCAGGCCCAGGACAGGCUCCCAGGAACGCUCAGGCCCAGCCCAGCCAGAGGCCUCAGGGUGAGCUCAAGACCCAAACCCAGACUGCUUCACCCAGGGGAAGCCUGGAGUGUGGGGAGGGGCAUCCAUGGGCCAUCCUGGUGGCCUUGGCUCUCUAGGACUCAGAGGCUCUGUGCCCCUUCCUGCUCUGCCCAGCCAGGGCCUGUGGAUGCCUGGUCUGCCUCUGCCUCAGUCUCUUCUGUGGCCCCUUGGCCUCUGCCUGUCUCCUCUGCAGCCCCCAUGGCCUCUGCCUCUGUCUCCUCUGUGGCCCCGUGGCCUCCACCUCUGUCUCCCGCUGCUCCCAUGGCCUCCACUCACAGCAGACACUUCUGACACCAGCAGGAUGUCAACAAAGUCACUGGUGGGACUUUAAUUAUACAUUUAAAUAGACUUUUUAUUUCUAAUAUCUUCUGAUCAACAGACACGUUGCAGAGAGAGCUCUCAGACAGCAUAGACCCUGUGCCACCAUGAGCACCCCACGACAGCGGGGUCCAUCUGUCACUGCAAGCUGGUGCUGAUGACCAGCCAGUAAACCCCACACUCUGCUGGCUCCCUCCUGUGCUCUCUCUGUCCCGGGUCUUCCUGGUUUCCCUCCCGUCCUCUGUCCCAUCCAAGCCCCUGUGGCAUGGCAUCAUCACCUCUCCGUGGGCCAUGACAGUUUCUUAGACUUUCCUUGGUUUGAAGACCAUGACAGUUUUGAGGUGUGCUGCUCAGGUGUUUAGAAGGCCCCUCAGUUUGGGUUGUCUGAUGUUUUUCUCAUGGUUAUGCUGGGGUAAUGGGUUUGUGAAGAGGAGGAUGGAGCCCUAGGUUCCGGAGCCCAGUGUCCUUCUCAUCCCAUCCUGUGGGGGUUCCACACUCUCCACACCACCCAGCUCUAUCAUCCUGUGGGGGUUCCACACUCUCAACACCACCCAGCUGUAUCAUCCUGUGGGGGCUCCACGCUCUCCACACCACCCAGCUCCAUCAUCCUGUGGGGGUUCCACACUCUCGACACCACCCAGCUCCAUCAUCCUGUGGGGGCUCCACGCUCUCCACACCACCCAGCUCCAUCAUCCUGUGGGCUUCCAUGUUCUUCACACCACCCAGCUCCGUCAACCCUCACCCACCUCCAUCACCCGGCUAAGGUUGUACCCACCAGGUUUCCCCACUAGUGGUACUGUAAGCAAUUGCAUUUUAUUUAUUGUUUAUUUUUGAGACAGAGCCUCACUCUGUUGCUCUCCUGGGCUCAGGCGAUCCUCCCACCUCAGCUUCCCAAAUGCUGGGACUCCAGGUCUGCACUACCACAUCUGGCUAAUGUUUUCUAAUUUUUGUACAGAUGGGGUUCACCAUGUUGCCCAAGCUGGCUUCCCACUCAUCCCCCAGCCUUGGCCUCCCAGUGCUGGGGUUACAGAUGUGAGCUUUGGCACCCGGCAAACAAGUGCACUUUAAUUCCAGAUAUUUAAAGACUCCACAGUUCAUUGUUACUGCUGUUGCUGUGCAAAGCCAAAAUUAAUUGAGAUUUUGUCAUCUUUUGCACCGCAAAACUUCUGCCUGGAAUCGUCCUGCAGGAGUGUGUGGUUUGCACAUUCUCUGAGCGAAUGUCUCUGAUGGCAAACAUUCUCAGUUCUUCUCCUGGUUUUUGUUUGCUUUCGGGCUGGUGUUUAGUGUAAAGCGGUUGUUCCACUGUGUUCUGUCCCCACUGUCCUGUGGGCAGGUCUGCCGUCGAUCCCACCGCUGGUCUCUGGAAGGGAAUCUGUCUCAUGCUUCCCCAGCUUUCUUCAAUUUUUCACUGUGGGCUUUCAGGAUGGCUCACACAGGUGGCAAGCUGGGACUUCUGUGUAUUUAUCCUGCUUGAGAUUCACAGGGCUUCUGGAAUCUGUGUUGGGAUGUCUUCUAACAGUUCUGGAAAAUUCUCAGAUACUAUCUCUUCAAAUAUUUAUUUCUCCCAUUCUCUUUUUCCAGUUCUCUAUAUUGUAUGUAUGUAUUUUGCAGUCCCAUUCUUAUCCGCGUGGUCUUUGAAAAUAUUACUAGCCUUCAUUCUGAAUACUUUACACUUUCCUGUCUCCCAGUUCCCUCCUUCCCUCCCCUGCCCUCCCUUCCCUUCCCUUUCUUUUCUUUUUGACAGGGUCUGGCUCUGUCAUCCAGGCUGGAGUGCAGUGGCACAAUCUCAGCUCACUACAACCUCCGCCUCCCGGGUUCAAGCAGUUCUCUUGCCUCAGCCUCCUGAGAAGCUGCGAGUACAGGCGUGUACCACCACACCUGGCUAAUUUCUGUGUUUUCAGUAGAGAUGAGGUUGGCCAGGCUGGCCUCAAACUCCUGACCUCAAGUGAUACUCUAGCCUCGGCCUCCUAAAGUGCUGGGAUCACAGGCCUGAGCCACCACGUCCAGACUCCAAUUUUCUUUUUAGCAAUUUUAAAUCUUCUGUUAAGCCUAUUGAGUUUUAAAUUGUGGCUAUCAUGUUUUCAUGUCUAAAAGCUCAUUCAGAUUUUUUAAUCUACUACAUAUUUUUAUAAGGUAAAGUUCUCUGCAAAUAUAAAACCUGUCUUUGUUUUCAA